CCUGCUAUGUUCCUUUGCAAGGGUGCAGCUUGGCAGCAGAGGAGGCCACGGGCUCACCUUGUCCUUGCUGGAAGGACAUGAGGCUCCAGGAGCACUGAGCCUUUCCCAGGCAAUCGUGCAGAGGAUUGUGUGUGAUGGGUGUAGUGGUGCGAGGAAACGACCAAGUGAGGAGUGAACCCUCUGGAGCAGCAAAGCUUGCCAGCCCAUGGGAGAGAGAAGAAAGCAGGUACACAGCCAGGUGCCUCAGAGGGGAAAGGAGACGGACACGGGAACCUGGCUGGGGCAGCACCCAAUCUGCCCCAAGCCAGCCAGCCCCUGAGCUGGUGAACUGGAACCAGCCUGGGAGAAAGGACAUGACCACAGAGUCAGGCUUCUUAUGCCUGUUCACACUACAUGUGAGGGAAAGCACAUGCUGAUCUCCAACAGCAGCAUCUUCAGAACAAAAUCUAUAUGGUGAUGAUAUGAAUAAAAAUAAAUAAAUAAAUAAAAUCAAAGUCUACAGUUAAACUUAAAAAGUAGCACUUCGGAAUCCUAAAAAGGAAGGCUUAACAUGGUUAAAAUUAUAGCAUUUUGAUGUUGCUCAGAUGGUGAUGACUGUGCUGUUCUGCAUCAUACCUGGUUGCAGUUGUUUUUGUUCAGGAGUGAAUCCACAGAGAGCUCCAGAAGUGGCUCCUUCUGCAGAUGCACAGAGCCUCAGCUCUGUUGAAGACCAGAGGGAUCUGCAUUUAUACCUUAGCUGACAGCGUGUUUCCUGAGCUUAUUUUUACUCUCCUGAAUAACCAUGGAUUAAAGAGAAAACUUUGUCACUUCAGUAUCACUCUUCUUGGAUCAUUUAUUAACAUGC